CAAAUUUAGAACCCCAAAUUGACGGGCACAACAAAUAAAACAGACAGCUUUCAUCACUUGAGAGGAUAUCUCUUCUCAAUACAUGCCAAAUGUAUUUUCUGGCUUGAACCAAGGGAACAUCACAGCAAGGGAAGAGGGAGGAAGAAAGGAAAGAAUCACAAACAAAAUGCAAACCUUAGCAAAUCCAGUGAACAUGCAGGUGUGCUUUAUCCCUUGGGAAAUAAUUGGAAUCCAUAGUCGUGGCUGAACAUCAUGCAUUAAUCAGAUAUGAUAGCCAUAUGGUGAGGCUGCUGCCAGGACCUGUACAGAAAAUGUCAGGCCAAGACAUCUUCUGGAUUUACUAAUAGCUGAAGUAGAUUAAGGACUGCAGGAGGACUGGCACAUUUCCAUUAAAGUUAUAUGUUGAAAUGAAU
rnacentral:lncRNA from 11 species